GAUGAACGCUGGCGGCGUGCUUAACACAUGCGAGUCGAACGAUGAAGCCCAGCUUGCUGGGUGGAUUAGUGGCGAACGGGUGAGUAACACGUGAGUAACCUGCCCUUAACUCUGGGAUAAGCCUGGGAAACUGGGUCUAAUACCGGAUAGGAGUGUCCACCGCAUGGUGGGUGUUGGAAAGAUUUAUCGGUUUUGGAUGGACUCGCGGCCUAUCAGCUUGUUGGUGAGGUAAUGGCUCACCAAGGCGACGACGGGUAGCCGGCCUGAGAGGGUGACCGGCCACACUGGGACUGAGACACGGCCCAGACUCCUACGGGAGGCAGCAGUGGGGAAUAUUGCACAAUGGGCGCAAGCCUGAUGCAGCGACGCCGCGUGAGGGAUGACGGCCUUCGGGUUGUAAACCUCUUUCAGUAGGGAAGAAGCGAAAGUGACGGUACCUGCAGAAGAAGCACCGGCUAACUACGUG
rnacentral:rRNA from 1 species